GCCCCGCGCUGUCCUCGGCCCGGCGUGGCCUGCGAGACUGGUGCGGGUGCCUCGGGCUCUGACCGUUCCGCGGCGGAGGUUGCUCUGCAAAAGGGGAGUUACCUGUGAUGAGAAGUAGUAAGAGCUUAUUGGUAUACUGUGCAAAUGAAGAAAGAUGAAGAAGUGAAGACUGCUCUCACGGUCCUCGUCCAUGAAUCAUUUAAGUCGACGUUUGGAUGUGUUUCCCCCAGACACGUGCGAGGCGCGCGGAGCAGGCAAUUAUCAGUGAAGCUCCUACAAACAUCUGUGCACAGGUUUUUGUGUGGACACGUUUGCAACGCCUUUGGAUAGAUACCAAGAAGCAUGAUUGCUGGAUCAUAUAGUAAGAGAUGGUGGGGAACGUGGUAAGACCAGCGACUUCCAUGAGCCUGUGCCCAUCGCUGCACUUUUUUUUGCUGUGAAGUGAGUGCCUUGAUCAGAACAGUGAAAUGGCCUUUUGAAGACUCAGAUAGAGUGUCAGGUGCAGAGGGAAGGAACUGGGAGCACACAGCAAGACAGUGGCUGUUCACAAGCUAGGAUCUGACCCUGCUGGCACCUUGAUCUUGGACUUCCGGCCUCCAAAACUGUGAGAAAAAAAUAAGUAUCUGUUGUUUAAGCCACCAUCUGUGGCAUUUUAUUACGACAGCCCGAGUAGACUACUACAGACGCUAUGUUGCUUCUGAGGCUAUGUUUAAAAAGGCCAUGCAAAUAAACAGGCUGGGCAGCUUCCCAGAGCUGGGAGUUCUCUGGGAACACUGGCGUUAGGGCUGGGAGGCCACUGCAGACACUCCAAACGGAAGUCCUGGUUGGCCCAGUCUUCAGCCGCCCAGCCCCACUGCUGGCGCGUGAGUGGGAGGGCCACUGGGGACAAGCUGUGCCCGACAUUGGCAAUCACGGGGCAGACAAGAGCUCUCUGCUAUGCCCCUUCUCAGUUCCUGACCACGGGCGGAAUUGAUGCGCAUGAAAAAUGCUGGCUGUAUUUCACCAACGUAGGGGGAUUUUUCUAGUCACGCUGGAUAAACUGGAACAAUGUUGUAUGAGCAUUUUUGGAGGAGUCUCUUUUGGGAACCUAUUCAUUUCUCUCCCCAUUAAGUACGUAGGAAGGAAUUUCUAGGUUGAAGAUUAAAGUUGUUAUAAAGAUUUGCUCUAGUUCUCCCACAUGGCUGUCCUAUUUUAAACUCCCCACAGCCAUGUGCAAGAGCUUCCGUCACCCACGUCUUUGCCAACAUUGGUGUGAUCUUUUCGAUGUUCACCCUCCCAGUGAGUGUGAAAGGACGUCUCAUGGUCAUUUUAUUUUCAGUCCUUUGAUUGCAAAUGAUGUUGAGCAUCUUUUCAUUUGCUUACUGGCUAUUCGUAUCUUGUCUUUUGUGAAACAUGUAUUCAAGUCUUUUGCCCAUUUUUAAACACUGUGUUGUUUCUCUUUUUUUAGUUCAUUUGUGGGAAUUCUGUAUAUAUUCCAUAUACAAGACAUUUGUCAGAUAAAUGAGCUGUGAAUAUUUUUUCCCAGUCUAUGUGACGUUGGUAGUUUUCAAAGCUCCACAGAUGACUCCAGCAUGUAGCCAAGGUUGAGACCGUUGGCCUAGUGCUUUUUUCCUCCUUUUCCUGGAAGGACAAAACUGGGGUCCAGUAUGGAGGUUGGGAAUCAAAUCGCCUGACUUUGACUUGGCUCCAACACUUGCCUACCAUGUGACCCUAGGCAAGUCACUUAAAAUGACCUAAAAUGACUUCUUACCUCCAUUUUCUCACCUCUAAGAUGGAGUUGAGAAUCGGGCUCUGGAAAGACUGUUUUAAUAAUUAAGUAAUCGUAAGCAGAUGUCUCUGCUGCCACUACAUGCACAGAUUAUGAUAUUUGCAGGGCAGUAUCAGGUUUCAACUUAAAAUUUCUCAUAGUUACGGAGAAUAUCUUCUAUUUUAGGCAAAAUUUUCAGAUCACCAAUAUUUGCCAUAGAUAAAAGACUAGGAGUGUGGGGGUUAUUAUAACGCUUUAGAUACAUGAGGAAAUUGUACAAAAUAAUAUCUCCAUGGGGUAUUUAUUUGUUUUUUAAUGCCUUGUACUUCAAGUGAAAGAAAGGCAUGGAGGACAGAAACAGUGCAGGCAGCAAGGGCUGGCAGUAGCACGGAGUCUGGCAUUGCAGAUAUCCUAAAUGCAAAACGUCGAGGCUGAAAUUGGCACGAGACAUGUCACAUAUUCAGCAAUCCUAAAUCAGUUCACUCUCAUACUUGGAUUCUCUGAGAAUCAAGGCUCAUGUCUGCAAGCAACUGUCUAAGCCUGCAACAACAUACAGCUUUAGGUAACGUCAACACAGGAAUCGAAUCCACACUAAACGUAUGUGACCAUAUCAUAGUGCUUUAAUCAGAGUGAUGUACGUUUAUAGAAUGCUUUCAUAUAUUUAUUUUAGGCUGAUUUAUAGCAACUGUGUAAGGAAAUACUGGAAGAGAUUAUUAGGAUCAUCUCAAUUUUGGAGAUAAAGCAGCUGAGGCUCAGAGGUCACAUGGUUAGUAAGGCUCAGAGCUGGCACAAGGAGCCAGAUCUUCCAACUCCAAGUCCAGCACCUUUGCACACCACACCAGGGCUUCUCAAACUGCAGCUCACUUCUACAGCUCACCUGGGGGUCUUGUUAAAAUGCAGAUUCUCACACAAUAGGUCUGGGAUGGGGCCAAGUGCUUCUUUUUCUGAUGAGCUUCAGGUAGUGCUGAUACUGAUCCAUGGAUCAUAUUGUGAGUGGCCAGGCACUACACGACGCUCCAUUUCAAUCAAUCAACUAGUCAUAUGCCUGGUUCUUCAAUAGUUGUCAUUAUACACUGCUGACUGCAGAACAAAAAUCACUUCCAGGUUGCCUUUCAGCUAGGUAUCACCUUCCAAGGGUAAGUCCCACUGACGAGCCCAGCUGCAGCUUUGUUUUCCUUAGAUGUGCUCCCCUUU